GCUUCCUCGAGCUAGCUGUUGAUCGUUUCGUACCUUGGUUUUCGACAUGCCUGAGCCAGCGAAGUCCGCUCCCGCCCCGAAGAAGGGCUCCAAGAAGGCGGUGACCAAGGCGCAGAAGAAGGACGGCAAGAAGCGCAAGCGCAGCCGCAAGGAGAGCUACUCCGUGUACGUGUACAAGGUGCUGAAGCAGGUCCACCCCGACACCGGCAUCUCCUCCAAGGCCAUGGGCAUCAUGAACUCCUUCGUCAACGACAUCUUCGAGCGCAUCGCGGGCGAGGCUUCCCGCCUGGCGCAUUACAACAAGCGCUCGACCAUCACCUCCAGGGAGAUCCAGACGGCCGUGCGCCUGCUGCUGCCGGGGGAGCUGGCCAAGCAUGCCGUGUCGGAGGGCACCAAGGCCGUCACCAAGUACACCAGCGCUAAGUAAACUUGCCAAGUAAGCGUCUUAAAGCCCAACCCAAAGGCUCUUUUAAGAGCCACUUAAAUUGCCGGUAUUAGAGCUGCACACACGUGUUUCUAAUCCAGGUUUAAAUUCGGGCGGUCUCUUUAAAGGGAUUAUCAUGACCUCAUUACGCUGAGUAAUGCGUACAGUGCUUGUAAUGGAGUCUGGCCGAAGUGAAGGCGCAUACACUUUGCUAGCACUGGGGAGGGACCUUUUCUGGAAUUUCCUGAUCUGAUCAAGAAAGCUUCUUACCAAAAAUAAAAUAAAAUAAAAAAAAAGCACAAUUGCUUUCUGUUACCUCAUUAUCUACUGCAGAAAAGAAGACAGGAAUGCAACCACACCUGGAUGGACUUUUCCACAAGAUAAAGCUGGCCUCUUGGUCUCAUUCAGAUUUCAAAGAGAAUCAUUUACAAGUUAAUUUCUGUCUCCCUGGUUCAUUCCUUCUCGCUUAUAAUCAUUCACUGUUCCUCAAAUAAUUGUAUACAUUACCCAUCUCCUCUUUUGCCUCUGAGAAAGGGUAUAUAAGCUUCUGUACCCCGCCAAGGGGUUGGAGUAAUCAUUCUGUGGCCCCCAGCC